AAAAAGGGCUUGUGCUAUGUAUGGCACAUCACUGUUCCCUGCAUAGGGGAUGGUGGUGCGGAAUCGACAUCAAGAGAUUUCGAAAGCAUAAUUUUUGUGACCAGGACUGCCUGUGAUCGUUGCUCUGGGCGUCCUC